AUGUGUGUCCCUAAGAGUUGGGGUUGGGGCGAUAUGGGUUUUCGUGGUAUACACAGUUUUAACUUGGCUAUGCUUGCUGAGCAAUGUUGGCGACUGAUUGAUAAUUAUGACUCUUUGUGUGCCAAGGUUCUGAGAUCAAAAUACUACCCUUCCGGUGAUUUGCUUAAUUGUGCUCUAAAGAAGGGAUCAUCCUACACAUGGCAAAGUAUUUGGUCAGGGAUCCAGACUUUCAAGAAAGGAUGUAUUUGGAGAGUUGGUAAUGGACUCAAAAUUAAUAUUUGGGAUGAUUGUUUGUUUCCAAGCAGUACCUCAAGGAAGAUAAUUACAGUGCGGGGUAAUUGUGUUCUCACUACGGUGAAUGAACUCAUAGACCCUACUACCGGAGAUUGGGAUGAACUCCUUAUUCGGGAUAUUUUUUGGCAUAUUGACACGGAAAGGAUAUUGCAGAUCCCUCUGUUCCAACACUAUACUGAUGACUUUGUUGCAUGGCAUCUUACAAAAUCUGGGGUAUUUUCUGUCCGGUCAGCGUACUACCGUUAA
rnacentral:rRNA from 1 species